GUGUGUGUGUGUGUGUGUGUGUGUGUGUGUGUGUGUGUGUAUAUACACACACACACAUAUAUACUGCCCACCUAUAUACACACACACACACACACACACACGUGGGCAG
rnacentral:miRNA from 1 species